rnacentral:rRNA from 1 species
AUGAACGCUGGCGGCAGGCUUAACACAUGCAAGUCGAACGGUAACAGAAAAUAGCCUGCUAUUUUGCUGACGAGUGGCUGGACGGGUGAGUAAUGCUUGGGAACAUGCCUUUAGGUGGGGGACAACAGUUGGAAACGACUGCUAAUACCGCAUAAUAUCUUCGGAUCAAAGUGGGGGACCUUCGGGCCUCACGCCUAGAGAGUGGCCCAAGUGGGAUUAGCUAGUUGGUAAGGUAAUGGCUUACCAAGGCGACGAUCCCUAGCUGGUCUUAGAGGAUGACCAGCCACACUGGAACUGAGACACGGGCCAGACUCCUACGGGAGGCAGCAGUGGGGAAUCUUGGGCAAUGGCCGAGAGGCUGACCCAGCGACGCCGCGUGGGGGAAGAAGGCCUUCGGGUCGUAAACCCCUGUCAGGGAGGAAGAAGGCUUACGGGUUAAUAGCCCGUGGAGUUUGACGGUACUCCCAGAGGAAGCCACGGCUAACUCCGUGCCAGCAGCCGCGGUAAUACGGAGGUGGCGAGCGUUGCCCGGAAUCACUGGGCGUAAAGGGGGCGUAGGCGGCCGGACAAGUCGGACGUGAAAGCCCGGGGGCUCAACCCCGGAGUUGCGUUCGAAACUGUUUGGCUUGAGGUCCGGAGAGGCCGGCGGAAUUCCCGGUGUAGGGGUGAAAUCCGUAGAUAUCGGGAGGAACACCGGUGGCGAAGGCGGCCGGCUGGACGGCACCUGACGCUGAGGCCCGAAAGCGUGGGGAGCAAACCGGAUUAGAUACCCGGGUAGUCCACGCCGUAAACGAUGGGUGCUAGGUGUGGGGGGUUAAACCUUCCGUGCCGAAGCUAACGCAAUAAGCACCCCGCCUGGGGAGUACGGCCGCAAGGCUGAAACUCAAAGGAAUUGACGGGGGCCCGCACAAGCGGUGGAGCACGUGGUUUAAUUCGAUGCAAAGCGAAGAACCUUACCUGGGUUUGACAUGCUAGGGGACCUUCCGGAGAUGGGAGGGUGCCCGGGCUUAGCCUGGGAGCCCUAGCACAGGUGCUGCAUGGCUGUCGUCAGCUCGUGUCGUGAGAUGUUGGGUUAAGUCCCGCAACGAGCGCAACCCUCGCCCUUAGUUGCCAGCGGGUGAAGCCGGGCACUCUAGGGGGACUGCCGGGGACAACCCGGAGGAAGGAGGGGAUGACGUCAAGUCAUCAUGGCCCUUAUGCCCAGGGCUACACACGUGCUACAAUGGGCGGUACAGAGGGAAGCGAACCCGCGAGGGGGAGCAGAUCCCAGAAAGCCAGUCCUCAGUUCGGAUCGGGGUCUGCAACUCGACCCCGUGAAGCCGGAAUCGCUAGUAACGGCGGAUCAGCAUGCCGCCGUGAAUACGUUCCCGGGCCUUGUACACACCGCCCGUCACACCACGGAAGCUGGCUCUGCCCGAAGUCGCUAUCCCAACCCCUUGAGGGGAGGGAGGCGCCUACGGGCAGGGCUGG